rnacentral:rRNA from 1 species
UACGAAGGGGGCUAGCGUUGCUCGGAAUCACUGGGCGUAAAGGGUGCGUAGGCGGGUCUUUAAGUCAGGGGUGAAAUCCUGGAGCUCAACUCCAGAACUGCCUUUGAUACUGAAGAUCUUGAGUUCGGGAGAGGUGAGUGGAACUGCGAGUGUAGAGGUGAAAUUCGUAGAUAUUCGCAAGAACACCAGUGGCGAAGGCGGCUCACUGGCCCGAUACUGACGCUGAGGAGCGAAAGCAUGGGGAGCAAACGGG